rnacentral:rRNA from 1 species
UACGUAGGGAGCAAGCGUUGUCCGGAAUCAUUGGGCGUAAAGCGCGCGUAGGUGGCUUCAUAAGUCCGUUGUGAAAGUCAAAGGCUCAACCUUUGAAAGCCGAUGGAUUCUGUGAAGCUAGAGUACGGAAGAGGCGAGUGGAAUUCCUGGUGUAGCGGUGGAAUGCGCAGAUAUCAGGAGGAACACCAAUAGCGAAGGCAGCUCGCUGGGACGUUACUGACACUGAGGCGCGAAAGCGUGGGGAGCGAACAGG